UUGAUUCUCAGCUGAAGUAGAAGCCCUGCUCGUCGAUUUACUGAAGAAAUCAUCAAUCCGACAAGUACCAGCAGGCCGCGGCUUCGGAGCAACUUCGCGAGAGCGAGCCACAGCACCACUCGCAGUUUCUUCAUGAGGCUGAGGAGUCGGCACCGGAAGCGAGUCAAGAACGAAAUCGCUGGUCGGCUGGUGCCUCUUGACGGCGGCUCGGAGGUGUUCGAUGUUCAAAAUCUUCUGCUUCUUCUCCGACGUCACUUCGCUGAUUUCUCCGCGAGAAAGCG
rnacentral:lncRNA from 1 species